GUCCAAGAUGAGAAUUAUCCUGCUUCUGUUCCUUUAAUAGGUUGAUGAACAUGCAAUAAUAAUGAAUGAAUCAAUAUCGAAUACAAAUAUCUCAAUAUUUAGUCUUCCAGUCGACCAUAGCCUAUAACAAAUACUAUUCUAGUGUCAUUUGGAUUUCAGCUAGAUCCCAGCGGGCAGAUGGAAAAUCAGCCUGUCAGGACAAACUGGAAUCUUCUCUGUUCUGUAUCUGCUGUGGGCUGCAGAAGACACUCAGUCAGCUCUGUCUCUCUCUCUCGCUCCCUCCCAACGCCUCAUUUCCCUGGGAGCCGUGUUUUGCAUCUCUCCCUAAUUUGCAUUUCUUCUUUAGAUAUUCCGUGCGACGGUCUAGCCGCUCGAAAUCAUAGAAUAAGGCGUAGCACCGCAGCAAUAUCUACAUGCUCCCGGCAUUUCCAAAGCAAUACGCACCGCGGAACCCAUUGGAAAAUUUGAAUAAUGUUGCCGAAGCUUUCCGAAAGGUGAAAUUGAGGAAUAUAUUUGGAUCAAUCCGUUUGGUUGCGCACUAGAGGAGACACAUGCCUUCGAGGUAAACAGACAGCAGGACUGGACAGCCAGAUAGUAGCCUAGGUUAUAUUGUUUUUCUCCUGCGUUAUAAGCGGUUACAAGCUGUUAUAACGCCACAGUAGUGGUCCUAAGGUCGAGCAGAGCUUCAAAUUUUUGGUUUGUUCGCCUUGGUUGGUUAUUGAGACGCAGUUGGAAAUGUCGGAAGUACUACAAGACGAAAUGAGUCAUUAUGGAGAUGAGGACGAUGAGGGACACCUUUCCUUCACCUGUCGCCUCCAAGACACCAACAACUUCUUCAGCGGCUCGCAGGGGGGCAAACGCCCGCCCAAACUUGGACAGAUAGGCAGAAGCAAACGAGUCGUCGAGGAUGAGAGCGGCGUUGACGAGGCGCAGAAAAACGGGACAGAGAAAACACAGACGGAGGCUUAAACACACCACCCCCGCCCCCCGAAAGACAUUGAUUCUCAUUUUCUAUUCGAAAUUAACAGUUUUAAUCCAAAGACACUGUAUAUAAGCACUUUUAUCCCAUAUGGCAGCAAGCACUUCUAGACCCUCUCCCAGUCCUCAUGAUGGUGAUCUCCUGGGACUUAUACUGGCAGGAUGGGGAAACAGCCAAGACAGAGAUGGAGACAGAGAAAGACACGGUGAUGGAUACAGACGCCCAGGUGAAUGCUGUCAUGCCAGGGUUUACGCCCAUAGAGCUUGUCUAAAACAGGGAUGACCAACGUUCUACCCAGAGAGCUAUUGGGGCUUUUUCUUACCACUGAAUUACCAACUGAUGCAUGGCAGAAAUGGAAUCAUGCAUGCAUGGUAAUGUUCUGAAGAUGAUCUAGUGUAUUCCAGAACACCUCCUAUACCACUUUGAAUGACUAUCCUCCAGAACAGUCUUAAUAUGACGUACGUUGUACUGUGCUGUACUAUUAUCUCACUGAUUUGUACAGUAGUCUAAUAUCUUGUAAUAAAGAUUCUGAAGAAGUUAAUUAAGAGUGUGUAUUGUGAUGUAUGUUGGAUAAUUCUAUGUUGCUGCCCAAAUGGUGCUGCGUCAGAGGCGUCAUGCCCAUCGGGGGCACAAAGGCAC
rnacentral:lncRNA from 1 species